rnacentral:rRNA from 1 species
GACGAACGCUGGCGGCGUGCUUAACACAUGCAAGUCGAACGGAAAGGCCUCUUUCGGGGGGUACUCGAGUGGCGAACGGGUGAGUAACACGUGAGUAACCUGCCCUUGACUUUGGGAUAACUUCAGGAAACUGGGGCUAAUACCGGAUAGGAGCUCCUGCUGCAUGGUGGGGGUUGGAAAGUUUCGGCGGUUGGGGAUGGACUCGCGGCUUAUCAGCUUGUUGGUGGGGUAGUGGCUUACCAAGGCUUUGACGGGUAGCCGGCCGGAGAGGGUGACCGGCCGCAUGGGGAUGAAGGUACGGCCAGGCCUCCUGCGGGGGGGGGGAGGGGGGAAUAUUGACAAAUGGGUGGGGGCCUGAUGCGGCACCGCCUGGGGGGGAAGGGCGGCCUUCGGGUUGUAACCCGCUUGCCCUCAUGAGGAGGUUUUGUGUGAGGUUAGUGGAAAAAAAAGCCCCGGCUAACUCCGUG